GUCGAGCGAGGUAGCAAUACCGAGCGGCAGACGGGUGAGUAAUACGUAGGAAUCUACCCUAGAGUCUCGGAUACCCGGCCGAAAGGUCGGCUAAUACGAGAUAGUCUCCACGGAGUAAAGAUUUAUCGCUCUAGGAAGAGCCUGCGUCCUAUCAGCUUGUUGGUGAGGUAAAGCUCACCAAGGCACCGACGGGUAGCUGGUCUGAGAGGAUGAUCAGCCACAAUGGCACUGAGACACGGGCCAUACAUCUACGGAUGGCAGCAGGUGGGUAUAUUGCGCAAUGGGCGAAAGCCUGACGCAGCGACGCCGCGUGAAGGAUUGAAGGUUUUCGGAUCGUAAACUUCUUUUGUCGGGGACGAUUAUGACGGUACCCGGCGAAUAAGGGCCGGCUAACUACGUGCCAGCAGCCGCGGUAAUACGUAGGGCCCAAGCGUUAUCCGGAUUUACUGGGCGUAAAGAGCAUGUAGGUGGUUUUUCAAGUUGCUUGUUAAAGCUCUCGGCUCAACCGAGAAAUCGCAGGCAAUACUGAUAGACUAGAGAAUAGCAGGGGCAAGUGGAAUUUGUGGUGUAGGGAUUAAAUCCGUUGAUAUCACAAAGAACACCUAUGGCGAAGGCAGCUUGCUAGGCUAUUUCUGACACUGAGAUGCGAAAGCGUGGGGAGCGAACGGGAUUAGAUACCCCGGUAGUCCACGCUGUAAACGAUGCAUACUAGGCAUUGGGAGUAUCGACCCUCCUUGUGCCGAAGCUAACGCGUUAAGUAUGCCGCCUGGGGAGUACGGCCGCAAGGCUAAAACUCAAAGGAAUUGGCGGGGACUCGCACAAGCGGUGGAGCGUGUGGUUUAAUUCGACAUUAAACGAAGAACCUUACCAGGUUUGACAUCCUGCGAAAGUCUAGGAAACUAGACCGUGCUCGCAAGAGAGCGCAGUGACAGGUGCUGCACGGCUGUCGACAGCUCGUGCUGUGAAGUGUCGGGUUAAGUCCGUAAACGAGCGAAACCUUAUCGUGUGUGCACUGUUUCACCGAGACUGCC
rnacentral:rRNA from 1 species